AGAAAUGUGUCUGACAAAAGAGUUACUUUGAUAGAGUAAAAAAUAGGGGUGAAAGUCCCCUUAUUUCUA
rnacentral:tRNA from 1 species